AUUGAACGCUGGCGGCAGGCCUAACACAUGCAAGUCGAACGGUAACAGGAAGAAGCUUGCUUCUUUGCUGACGAGUGGCGGACGGGUGAGUAAUGUCUGGGAAACUGCCUGAUGGAGGGGGAUAACUACUGGAAACGGUAGCUAAUACCGCAUAACGUCGCAAGACCAAAGAGGGGGACCUUCGGGCCUCUUGCCAUCGGAUGUGCCCAGAUGGGAUUAGCUAGUAGGUGGGGUAACGGCUCACCUAGGCGACGAUCCCUAGCUGGUCUGAGAGGAUGACCAGCCACACUGGAACUGAGACACGGUCCAGACUCCUACGGAAGGCAGCAGUGGGGAAUAUUGCACAAUGGGCGCAAGCCUGAUGCAGCCAUGCCGCGUGUAUGAAGAAGGCCUUCGGGUUGUAAAGUACUUUCAGCGGGGAGGAAGGGAGUAAAGUUAAUACCUUUGCUCAUUGACGUUACCCGCAGAAGAAGCACCGGCUAACUCCGU
rnacentral:rRNA from 1 species